rnacentral:misc_RNA from 1 species
CGCUUUCCCUCUCCUGUUACGUAAUGUGAAAACAUUUUUAUUUGAAAACGAAGGAAACCCACUUCAAUCUUCUUCAUCACUACUGAUACAACAGAAUGGGUUUCAAGAAACUGGGUUUGUUCCUUUUCGUGAUAAUCUUGUUUCUGAUUCAUGUUCGUCCUCUGCAUGCACAACCCUCGCUAAAUUCCUCCACUGCUACUACUGGGCUCCAGCGGCUGGUCUUAGUAAACAGGAAGGGUGGAGGAGGUGGCGGCCAUGGAGGUGGUGGCGGCCAUGGAGGUGGCCAUUCAACUGGAAGCGAAGCGCAUGGUGGAGAGGCUAAAGGUAAUGGUGAUGAGGGACAUGGUGCAACUGUAGUCCCUCUUUAUGCUGCUGGGGCUAUGAACCAUCACCAGCACCAUGGUUCUAAUGAAGGCUCCCCGAAAUAUACUGGUUCCCUUUAUUUGGUUAUUGCAGCUUUGGUUGUUGGUAUUCUUUAGUAUUGUGCAUAGCUUGCAGUAACGGUGUUUAUACAGUAGUGGUAUUUAUUGUCUAGAGAUAAUCACAGUCACUUGCUAACAGGUUGAGGUUGUCAUGUUUGUUCUAUCCUUAUCAUGCUGUUGUAAAUUUCUUUUAAUUACGCUUAACUACCUAGCUCUUUGUAACCCAUAAAUACAAUUAUAUCAAAACAUAUCAAUAUAGGGAAAACAUUAUUGCUUCAUCCAUAUGCAAGACUCGGCUCUUACAUUUAUAUUGUCAAAAAUACUACAAUUACGACCAGAUUUUG